rnacentral:RNase_P_RNA from 1 species
GGAGCAGUACAAACGAUCGCGGGAUAUUGUUUAUCCGGAGGAAAGUCCGAACACCACAGGGCAGGGUGCUCCAUAACGUGGAGUCACGGUGACGUGAAGGAAAGUGCAACAGAAAGGAUACCGCCUUUUUUGGCGAUCUGUAAAGAUCUGCUAAAAAGGUAAGGGUGAAAAGGUGCGGUAAGAGCGCACCAGUUCCCCGGGUGACCGGGGAAGCUUUGUAAACCCCACCCGGUGCAAGACCAAAUAGGGGAGCGAUAAGGGCGGCCCGCCCAAGCUCCCGGGUAGGUUGCAAGAAAUGCCGGGCAACCGGCGUUCACAGAUGAAUGAUCGUUACCGGAAUGAGGGUAACCUCGUCCCGGAACAGGAUUCGGCUUAUGGACUGCUCCGGCC